AACGAACGCUGGCGGCAUGCCUAACACAUGCAAGUCGAACGAGAUCUUCGGGUCUAGUGGCGCACGGGUGCGUAACGCGUGGGAAUCUGCCCUUUGGUUCGGAAUAACAGUUGGAAACGACUGCUAAUACCGGAUGAUGACGAAAGUCCAAAGAUUUAUCGCCAGAGGAUGAGCCCGCGUAGGAUUAGCUAGUUGGUGUGGUAAGGGCGCACCAAGGCGACGAUCCUUAGCUGGCCUGAGAGGGUGAUCAGCUACACUGGGACUGAGACACGGCCCAGACUCCUACGGGAGGCAGCAGUGGGGAAUAUUGGACAAUGGGCGAAAGCCUGAUCCAGCAAUGCCGCGUGAGUGAUGAAGGCCUUAGGGUUGUAAAGCUCUUUUACCCGGGAUGAUAAUGACAGUACCGGGAGAAUAAGCUCCGGCUAACUCCGUGCCAGCCGCCGCCGUAA
rnacentral:rRNA from 1 species